rnacentral:tRNA from 1 species
GGGAAGAUGGCUCAGUGGUAGAGUACUUGCCUUGCAUGCAUGAGACCCUGGGUUCAAUUCCUCAGCACCCCA